UACGUAGGUGGCAAGCGUUAUCCGGAUUUACUGGGUGUAAAGGGAGCGUAGGCGGCGCGUUAAGUCUGAUGUGAAAACCCGAGGCUCAACCACGGGAGUGCAUUGGAAACUGGCGGGCUGGAGUGCCGGAGAGGUAAGCGGAAUUCCUAGUGUAGCGGUGAAAUGCGUAGAUAUUAGGAGGAACACCAGUGGCGAAGGCGGCUUACUGGACGGCAACUGACGCUGAGGCUCGAAAGCGUGGGGAGCAAACAGG
rnacentral:rRNA from 1 species